ACGAACGCUGGCGGCGUGCUUAACACAUGCAAGUCGGACGGAAAGGCCCUGCUUUUGUGGGGUGCUCGAGUGGCGAACGGGUGAGUAACACGUGAGUAACCUGCCCUUGACUUUGGGAUAACUUCAGGAAACUGGGGCUAAUACCGGAUAGGAGCUCCUGCUGCAUGGUGGGGGUUGGAAAGUUUCGGCGGUUGGGGAUGGACUCGCGGCUUAUCAGCUUGUUGGUGGGGUAGUGGCUUACCAAGGCUUUGACGGGUAGCCGGCCUGAGAGGGUGACCGGCCACAUUGGGACGGGGAUACGGCCCAGACUCCUACGGGAGGCAGCAGUGGGGAAUAGUGCACAAUGGGCGGAAGCCUGAUGCAGCAACGCCGCGUGCGGGAUGACGGCCUUCGGGUUGUAAACCGCUUUCGCCUGUGACGAAGCGUGAGUGACGGUAAUGGGUAAAGAAGCACCGGCUAACUACGUG
rnacentral:rRNA from 1 species